GUUUGUGCACAAGCUACCUAGUUUUACUAGCAACUAGGUUGCUUCACUUUGGUUAUGCUAGCUGGUGCACGUUUCCCUAGUGAGAUAAAUAGUUAAUAAAUGUCAAGUCAGUGUUCAGUGUGUGACUGGCAGGGAUUUCUGUUGUAAAUUACAACUUUCGAUGCUUUUCAUUAUUAUAUUUUCAUUUUCUUGUGCAUUUACUUUCUUUUAGGAAGUUGUAGGGGGUGAAGUUUGAGCCACUGCAUUAUCAGCUGGUAAGAUAAAGAUGAUAAAGAUUUCAUUGUUAUAGCAUUCGCUAUUUUUGUCACACAGCUACGUAGUCUGACCAGUCCAUCGCAAACCGGUCUGAAGACGUGCGAACUGUUCAAGAAACAGAAAGAAGAGUCAAUCUUGAGCAUAAUUCUAAAUUCAAGAAAGACGGCUGCAGAACUCAGGGACUAAUUGUCCACAGAUGUGUAGCUGCACUGGACUGAAGACCCAGAGUUUCAC
ensembl:lncRNA